rnacentral:lncRNA from 1 species
UCGUAUUUCUCCAAUGUUGGAGGAGGUUUCUCCGACAUAGGAGUUUGCAUGAUGGUCGUUGUAAACAGAAGUAGACCGAUAGGGCGAAUGGUUUGAAGGGGCGUUGGUGUGGGUUCCCUUCUCCCCCGACCGCCAAGUUCAGUAUGGGAAGAUCGUUCCCUGUUAUGACUACCCUCAUUAUCCCCAUGUCUAUUUGAGGCAGAUAGUUCGAGUGGGGGUCAUUGUACCCUUAACGUCGCAAUUUCUUCCACCUGUUUCCGUUGUAACUCCUGCUAUUCAUGUAUGGUCUGUGCCUGUGUUUCGAUCUGGGCUUGUAACUCUCUGAUUAGAUCUCUGGUUUUCUGCUCUUCCAUGUUUCUUAUGGUCACUAUUAGGUGUCUUCAAGUCUCAGGCCCCACAGUGAGCGCCAAAAUGUUUCUGUAGGGCUUUUGUUGGACCGAGAUACUAACCUGUUUGACGUGCCUUCCCUGCUUCAGAAUGCCUGAUCACCUGAACCGCUCACUUUCUUUACUCCAGGCCGCU